rnacentral:rRNA from 1 species
GACGAACGCUGGCGGCGUGCUUAACACAUGCAAGUCGAACGGAAAGGCCCUGCUUUUGUGGGGUGCUCGAGUGGCGAACGGGUGAGUAACACGUGAGUAACCUGCCCUUGACUUUGGUAUAACUUCAGGAAACUGGGGCUCAUACCGGAUAGGAGCUCCUGCUGCAUGGUGGGGGUUGGUAAGUUUCGGCGGUUGGGGAUGGAAUCGCGGCGUAUCAGCUUGUUGGUGGGGUAGUGGCUUACCAAGGCUUUGACGGGUAGCAGGCCUGCGAGGGUGACCGGCCACAUUGGGACUGAGAUACGGCCCAGACUCCUACGGGAGGCAGCAGUGGGGAAUAUUGCACAAUGGGCGGAAGCCUGAUGCAGCAACGCCGCGUGCGGGAUGACGGCCUUCGGGUUGUAAACCGCUUUCGCCUGUGACGAAGCGUGAGUGACGGUAAUGGGUAAAGAAGCACCGGCUAACUACGUG